CAGCUGACGGGUGGGCUAGGCUUGCGCGCGGGCCAGGCUCGCAGCGACAGGGUCGAUGCGCGCUUCUGUCGACGAAAAGGAGAGGCGGGUCGCUCGUGGGCUAGGCCCAGUGCGGAUGGAUCGAGCUGCGAGGUGAAAACACCACCAAUCCCGUGCGUCUUCGAGCAGCCAAUCCAGCCCCGCUCCCCUCCCUCUCCACGGCGCCGCCGCCUCCUCCCCUUCUGCCCUGCUCUCCACCGCGCUGCCGCCUCCUCCCUUAUGCUCCCCACCGCGCCGCCUCUUCCUCCCCUUCACUGUUCUCUCCAGCGGCGGCAAAGAUCUGGCGGCAAAGGGAGACGACGAGGGCGCUCGAUCCGAUCUGCUGAAGACAAGGAAGGAGAGGAGGGAGAAAGAGAGAGGAAAGAGGAGAGGGAGGUGUGGUGGCGGAUGAGAGAGGGUCACCGGAAGGAGCGUGACGACCUGCAGGCAAAGGGCGGCGGCGGCGCCGCUCGAUUUGAUCUGCGGGAGAGAGAAGAUGAGAGGGGGAGGAAGAGGGAGAGAGAGAAGGAAGGAGAGGAGAGGAGAGAGAAAGAGAGAGGAGAAAGGAGAGGAGGGGGGCGACGGCGGUCGGGAGAGGAUCACCGGAAGGAGUGUCGCCGGCUCAUCGUCUUUCAUACCUACCCAUGCAGCUGCCGGCUGUAGGGGUGUUGCAAGGAGUUAGAGGUCGUGCGCUGGCCGGAGCAGCAGGAGCAAGGAUAUGGCCGCCUCUCUUCUCUGCCACGGUUCCCUCCUCUUCCUUCAGCUCUCGAGAUGUCGACCUGCAGGUUAAGGCAAACCAUUGUUUGACAACAAAUAUGCGGAGGCGUUUUUAUGAAUGUGCAUUUCACCUGAAUCUGGAGAGCUAUUUUAUCUGUCGCGGACAUUUUUGGUGGAAUUCAAUGUUUAGCAGCUUGGGAGCAAGUAGAAAUACCUGAUUUGAUGCUCAUGCUUCCAAUUUUUCACAUUUCGCGAGAGCUAGGCGUACUUCUCGAUGACCUUGCCGUCUCCAACCCAUCCGAUUAUUAUGGAUUUUCUGAAGGUGGUGGUGGGGGUUGCACGGCAUGUUCCGUCUGGUUUCAGCCAUGGCUCCUUAGAGAGCUGGACAUGCUUGGUUGGAGUCGUCGUCGUCCUGGUUGGGGAGAUGAGCAUGCUUAUGCUUAUCUAACAUAUAAAGCCUCCUAGAUAGUUCCGAGGAAGCACUCAACCUAGACGUCGCCCCUAAAUCACUGCUGCCACCGCUUGUAAAUUGUGUGCCCCGCCGAGGGCAUUUUAGUCUUUUCAGCGGGCCAAAAAGGCAGGCAGCGCGGGCAGGAGCGAGACCGCACAGACUGCGUCUUCCCCACGAACCCUUUCCUGUUUGAAGAGGUGGCCUUUUGUGUGGUACUCAACUGCUAUCCCAGGAAGGUAACUCUUUCCUGCUUGUUUUUUGAUUUUUCUGCUCAAUCCACACUUUAGUUUAUGUUUCUUGGUGUGCAAUGUGCUCAAUCUACCUUUUUUUUACCAAUUUUGGUUGAUGGUCGAUCGAGAGGUGGUAGAUACAGAUGUAAGAAGAGGGGUGCAUAUUCUGGCUUACUACAGAAAAUAACUCUAUAUGAAGAUUAAUUGUAAGGAUGUGAUGCUUCAAGGAAAUAAUAUGUGCAUAAUUAGGGGACAUUCCAAAGAUAUGAAGGGAUAGCCUUUCGUUAAAAACCUGGUCUUUUGUUUGAAAGGGUCUAACUUUUACUGUGAACUACUUAUCAUGAUCUUAUUUUGAAGUGAUGGAUUUUUACAGAUAUUAGUGCUUGACUUCGGUGGCGUCGCCUUCUGGCAGGUCACGGGGUUAGAGCACAGGAACCUGACACGGUGUUCCAAACUCAGGCGGUCAUGGUCGACCAGAUGUCGAAGGGCUUGGUAGCAACUCUCACGGAGAAAGAGAACAAGUUUUCAAGAGAUUCAGUGUAACUGGAAAUUGUCAGACUCACCGGAGGUAUUCAGGAUUACAAAUUUGGCAGAUGCUGUUGCUUGCAAACCCUAGGCCUGGUUCCUGGACUUGGUCGGCCUCCUCGGGGGAUGUAGCUGCGCUCCGGUGUCGACUCCUCGACCAAUGACGCUCCAUCCCAACCCCACCAAUCUUCACCGCUGCUUGACGACAUGGAGCUGAACACCGCUGCAACCAUGGUGGCGCCACCUCUGACCAAGGGAUUGCGACGCCAGCAAAGCAAAGGAAGAUCCGCAACAAAACUGUAUGUGGACUGCUCCGUUACUAUUUCUGCUAGAAAUUCUGAUGUAUAUGUAUAAAAUCUGUUAGUUGUGCGCCACAUGCCGACUUGAGUAGAUCAGAUCAGUUGCCUAAGUAGAUGAGUUGUCAUACACCCAAUAGAUUUUCUGCUUGCCCAUGCCUUUUGCCAACCCGUGUACAAGCUAGCUACUAGAUCAACUGAUUGAUUGUUCUGGUUCAGCACAACACACAUCAAGUAAAGGAACCUCCGUACCAAAUUCAUACAGACUGCUCCCUUAUAAUUUCUGCUCUAAAUUUCAUCAGGGAUUGCGACUCCGUGUUAGGUGUGUGCUGCUUGUCGUAUGUCAGAUCGUUGCCUAAGUAGACUUUUUUGACGAUGGAACAUGCACGUACGUUUGACCAAUUGCUAAUUCCUGCUGGCCAAUGGCCUUGGGCGAAACGAAACAUGCACAUACUCUUGAUUCAAUUGUUCCUGUGCAUCACAACAUGUCUGAACACCAGAUUAUUUUUCUCAGUGACUAGGAUUUAUAUAGGUAAAUUUUCUUUUAUUUAUAGUUGCAGAUUGCAUAUAUUAGGACUUGCCAACUAGGCAUCCUAACACCGGCUACAACUUGGACUCGCAAACUACAUCAACAGGCAUGUAUAGGAGUUUGGAAUAUCCAACAUUUUCUUCUUUUUAUUUACUUCAUCCAAUAUCUGGGAACUAAAUGUGGUUCUAGAUUUGAUCCCCCAUGUGACUUUGAAAUAAAUUUUCAUUACCUAUGCAUCUUCAAUUAGUUUUUAGUUCUGUUCUCUAUACAGUUUGCACAGAAUAAUAUGUUAAUGUUAGAUAAUUAUUUAUUAUUUGCACUAGCAAUUUUAGUUCUCCCUUCCACAAUACAAACAAUCCAGGAAGGCGAUUUGCUUUAGUUUAGGAUUUUUUUAACAAAGAUUCUUUGUCAAAUUAUGCACAUAUCAUAUUCUUCGUUUUAGUUGUCUACUGCUGCACUGUUAUAUUUGGGUUUCAGAUAUUUUAUUUUGUAUAUUGAUAUCUAAUCCCUACAAAUUUUAGUCUCUUACCUUUUGUUUGCUCUGAGGUCAGGUGUAGUUUUUCUUUUGUAUGGCAAAUGAAAUAGAUUCCUCAAGAAACAGGAAAACGCUACUGAACUAGACUGAUAUGCUCAUAAUAUGCUAAUAUGAGAUUGAUCGAUUUACAGUGAACUAUAGUAAUGGUAGCAACAAUUAAGUAAGUAAUGGGGACCUCCUAUUGUCCUGCGAUGCCUGUUGGCAAACAUAAGCAAGAACUACAGUAAUGGUAGCAACAAUUAAGUCCCUGGUACAAUGGUGAUGUGCAAUGCUUGAAUUCUACUUUCAUAGUCCGAGAUACAAUGUCUACUGUAGGUAUUGCAUGUUAUUACCUCUUCCAAAUUAAGAAGUCAUUUGAAUAAACUUGAUGGACCUCGAUUAUUAGAUGUUCUGUUUUGCAGGUUAAUAUAAGGUUUAGAAACUAAGACUGCUGUAAAAAGAAACAUGUUCUGAUUCACUCACAUGCAAACCCUCCUAAUUCCAUCCCUCAAACCUCGUGUAACAUAUUUCUAGCGCAUAUAGGUGCUUAUUUUCUAUGUUUUCUACAUUUUUGGAGUUUCCAUAAAUUUAGUUUGUGCUACGGAUAAUACAUGGUAGUAUAUUAAGUUUGAAUUCAUGAUCAUGUUCUCUCGUCUGCUAUAUAGAUUUUAGUUUGACCUGCAUAAAUCACUUGAAGAGAGGGAUAAAAGGAGAGGGAGAGAGAUGCAUGUUGUGAGGGAGCAAGCCCAUCAAUUCUAAAUAUGAUCCAUGUGCUGAGAAAUUUCUAUUUAAUUCAAUUGUACGGUUAGUAUGUUCAUACUUGAUAUACAAGCAGUUUUGUACAUGAAGAAUGCAUGUGCGGAGAGAGGUUUACUUAGGGCAGCUCAAAUCCCAUCUUGAGCUCUAAUAUCUCUGUUAUUAAUUUUGAUUUGAUUGUGUACGUUCACACAGCUGCAAGGUUAAUUCACUGGUCUGUACUUCAAACUUGAUUGUUGAAUUGUACUAAAUUCCAUACUCGGUCUUCCGGUGGCCUCCCUGGUGUGUUUCUCCCCGCAUCAUAUUCCUCUAGCUACUAACCCUGUUUCCAGCAAGCUCUGUUGCCGUCAGAAUGAGUCAAUGAGGUUUGUUAAUUUGCAGGGAUGUGACAUCUAAAUAUGUAUUCUUGCCAUCGCAGCAAAAAAAUUGAGAUAUCUCAUAUAUUGGCAAAGCUAAUGCCUGAGAGGGAGCUACCAAACAAGCAUGCUUUAUAUUUGGGACGUGCAGGCUGGGAGGAUCAUUGGUAAUUGAUCCUAUCAAAGGAAGGUGCGAUCUCCAGCCUGAAGGAAUGGCUGGUUGAUUCAGCUAUAGGAAGCAAUCCUGUUCUGCGAUUGAUUGCUGGAAUCGUAUUUAUGCAAGAGCAAGACUACACACGAGGCUGUCAAGCACACACACACACAACAGAAGAACUCUGGACAUUUCAUCAUCUUCUGACACUGGAAGAGGAUGCACUAAGUUAUAAAGUAAUAAAGUAAAACAUGGAUUUCACUUACUUGAGAGAAGAUCUGGCCAUCACAUUGACACUGCUACGUACCAGACUAAAGUUCAACAAAUGAUCAUUCAUCAUCUUCUGAUCAUGGUCUUUGCCGUUUAUGAUGCCAAUUUUGGAGAUACCGUUUGUUCAACUACAUACUAAUGCA